UACGAAGGAUUCGAGCGUUAUCCGGAUUUAUUGGGUUUAAAGGGUGCGUAGGUGGACUAAUAAGUCAGUGGUGAAAGCCCGCAGCUUAACUGCGGAACUGCCAUUGAUACUGUUAGUCUUGAGUACAGUUGAGGUGGGCGGAAUGUGUCAUGUAGCGGUGAAAUGCUUAGAUAUGACACAGAACACCGAUUGCGAAGGCAGCUCACUAAGCUGUAACUGACACUGAGGCACGAAAGCGUGGGGAGCAAACAGGAUUAGAAACCCCCGUAGUCC
rnacentral:rRNA from 1 species